CUCUGAGAAGCCCUGGGCUGGUCUAUGCAGCACUGGGUCAGAAGUUCCCUGUGGAGCAGGCCAGCUUGACUGACAAAACAAAUAUGCUAAAAAUAACAAGCUGGUGAUUCUCUUUCUUACUUUAUCAGGUUGUCAGGAAAUUUGAGUACUUUUGUAAUUUGAAAAGCAUAGCUGGAUCUUUCUUGUCAUAACUGAUUAUUUUGGGACUCUAACAGUGAUGCACUCAGUCAGACAGUGAAACUGUGGAGAUCACUGAUUUGAAAGCAGAUGGCAGGAUUCCCUACUCAUUUGGCUCCCAGAGAAGCCCAGCACAUUGCUCCUGCUCUAGAGACAGAGUGGCCCUCUGGAGAGAGGAGAGGAGAGGAAAGAAAGGAGACAGACUCAGAGUGACAUCAUAGAAUGUUAUUCUAGGCAUUGACUAGCGUGUCUAACUGGAUUAUUUCAUUGCUGCAGCAGCUACUUUAAAACGUUUGAAGUUGUUUUGUGCGUACUCAGGAAGUGUGUGUGCAUCUGGAAGUAAGACGACAACUCCUGGGAGUCAGUCCUCGCCUUCCGCUGUACAGUACGGGGAGGACGCUCAGCUCACCAGGCGUGACCAUCGUCCUUAGCUCCUGGGCCUGCUUCCAAGCACCCAUGGCUCAUUUUCUAAUUGUCUUCCAGUCUCUGUAAGUUGAAGUGUAAUGCGUGAUGUAGGGGACUCCUGUCUGUUGAGAUUAAAAUAGUUUGUCCUAUGAAA